rnacentral:rRNA from 1 species
UACGAAGGGGGCUAGCGUUGUUCGGAAUCACUGGGCGUAAAGAGCGCGCAGGCGGUCGGAUAAGUCGAAUGUGAAAGCCCCCGGCUCAACUGGGGAGGGUCAUUCGAUACUGUUCGACUCGAAGGCAGGAGAGGGAAGUGGAAUUCCCGGUGUAGUGGUGAAAUGCGUAGAUAUCGAGAGGAACACCAGUGGCGAAGGCGAGUCUCUGGACAUUUCCUGACGCUGAGGCACGAAAGCCAGGGGAGCAAACGGG